CCUACGGGAGGCAGCAGUAAGGAAUAUUGGUCAAUGGAGGCAACUCUGAACCAGCCAUGCCGCGUGCAGGAUGACGGCCCUAUGGGUUGUAAACUGCUUUUAUACAAGAGAAAACCCUGGUACGUGUACCAGGUUGAUAGUAUUGUAAGAAUAAGCAUCGGCUAACUUCGUGCCAGCAGCCGCGGUAAGACGAAGGAUGCAAGCGUUAUCCGGAUUCAUUGGGUUUAAAGGGUGCGUAGGCGGACUGAUAAGUCAGUGGUGAAAUCUCUUUGCUUAACAAAGAAACUGCCAUUGAUACUGUCGGUCUAGAGUAUAGAUGACGUUGGCGGAAUAUGACAUGUAGUGGUGAAAUACUUAGAUAUGUCAUAGAACACCGAUUGCGAAGGCAGCUAACGAAACUAUAACUGACGCUGAGGCACGAAAGUGCGGGGAUCAAACAGGAUUAGAUACCCUGGUAGUCCGCACCGUAAACGAUGAUUACUCGUUGUUGGCGAUAUGACAGUCAGCGACCAAGCGAAAGCGAUAAGAAUCCACCUGGGGAGUACGCCGGCAACGGUUGAAACUUAAAUGAAUUGACGGNNGAGAGNGCGAGGACGACGACGAGGGAGGAGG
rnacentral:rRNA from 1 species